rnacentral:rRNA from 1 species
UACGUAGGGUGCGAGCGUUGUCCGGAAUUACUGGGCGUAAAGCGCACGUAGGCGGCUAUUCAAGUCGGGGGUGAAAGCCCGGGGCUCAACCUCGGAACUGCCUUCAAUACUGGCUAUCUUGAGUACGGGAGAGGUGUGUGGAACUCCGAGUGUAGAGGUGAAAUUCGUAGAUAUUCGGAAGAACACCAGUGGCGAAGGCGACACACUGGCCCGUUACUGACGCUGAGGCGCGAAAGCGUGGGGAGCAAACAGGG